UACAGAGGUCUCAAGCGUUGUUCGGAUUCAUUGGGCGUAAAGGGCGCGUAGGUGGCGGGACAAGCGUGCGGUGAAAGCUCGGGGCUCAACCCCGCGUCGGCCGUGCGAACUGUUUUGCUUGAGCACUGUAGAGGCAGGCGGAAUUCCGGGUGUAGCGGUGGAAUGCGUAGAGAUCCGGAAGAACACCCGUGGCGAAAGCGGCUCUCUGGGACGGUACUGGACGCUGAGACGCGAAAGCGUGGGGAGCAAACAGGG
rnacentral:rRNA from 1 species